GAUGAACGCUAGCGGCAGGCUUAACACAUGUAAGUCGAGGGUGUGGUUCUUCGGAACCAGAGACCGGCGCACGGGUGCGUAACGCGUAUGCAAUCUACCUUUUACAGAGGGAUAGCCCAGAGAAAUUUGGAUUAAUACCUCAUAGUAUAACAUGACCGCAUGGUCGAGUUAUUAAAGUCACAACGGUAAAAGAUGAGCAU
rnacentral:rRNA from 1 species